AGGCAUGACCACGGUUACGGUUAU
rnacentral:siRNA from 1 species